GACGAACGCUGGCGGCGUGCUUAACACAUGCAAGUCGAACGGAAAGGCCUUUUCGGAGGUACUCGAGUGGCGAACGGGUGAGUAACACGUGGGUGAUCUGCCCUGCACUCUGGGAUAAGCCUGGGAAACUGGGCCUAAUACCGGAUAGGACCGCACUUUAGUGUGUGUGGUGGAAGGUUUUUUCGGUGUAGGAUGAGCCCGCGGCCUAUCAGCUUGUUGGUGGGGUAAUGGCCUACCAAGGCGGCGACGGGUAGCCGGACUGAGAGGUUGGUCGGCCACAUUGGGACUGAGAUACGGCCCAGACUCCUACGGGAGGCAGCAGUGGGGAAUAUUGCACAAUGGGCGCAAGCCUGAUGCAGCGACGCCGCGUGGGGGAUGACGGCCUUCGGGUUGUAAACUCCUUUCGCCAGGGACGAAGCGUUUUGUGACGGUACCUGGAGAAGAAGCACCGGCUAACUACGUG
rnacentral:rRNA from 1 species